UGUGUGUUUCCAUCUCCAGCCCCGUGCCUGGCUCACGAAUCGCACCGUAGCACAAAGAGCAGAACAGCCCACCGGAAGCUACACUGCAGCAAUUGUUGUUGUGAGACACUGAAACCUGAGAUCCACUUUCCUGAGAUGUCAUGGGGGACCAUCAGAGAGCCCCGCCCCUCAUCCCAGCCUCAUCUACUCUGAUGUCCUGCUUCUGAUACAUAAAAUGGCACCAUGAUCCACGACUGCAUAGUAAAGCUGAGGAG